rnacentral:rRNA from 1 species
CCUACGGGAGGCAGCAGUGGGGAAUUUUGGACAAUGGGCGCAAGCCUGAUCCAGCAAUGCCGCGUGAGUGAAGAAGGCCUUCGGGUUGUAAAGCUCUUUUGUCAGGGAAGAAACGGUUCGGGUUAAUACCUUGGGCUAAUGACGGUACCUGAAGAAUAAGCACCGGCUAACUACGUGCCAGCAGCCGCGGUAAU